ACAAGAGAUCAAAGGCCUGCCCCUGAUUUGCUCCUGCCUUGGGAGUUGAAGGUUCAAUUGUUGUAGCAACUGGAGAACCAGAGAACACGGUCAGCUGUCUUGGUGGGACGAGGAACAGUCCCUUAGUGUCUGCUUCUGAAGCUGGGACAGAGGACAGGGUCGAAAGAAGACCCAACCUGAUCCGUGGCAACUUAGUAGCAGAAGCGAACACACAGGUCUUCCGACUUUCGGUCCAAAGCCUACAGGAAAAUAUUGGCACAGAGAUAAUUAGCCGGUUUUCCUAAGCAGGACAAGAAGUCACCGAGAGCCAAGUCCACGGCUUGCAUGGAACGUUCAGGACAUUUCCUGAGGGCACAAGCAGCAUAUUAACUCUUACGUGCGUCCUGGCCUGUGCAACAGUAGGGAUAAAAUGAGUUUGCACAAACUCGCAGCUGGGCUGAAUUCCCCUCCGAGAAUGGGUCAGAAACUCUCACAGAGCCGCUCCCGUACGUUCAUUUAUCUGUUCAACAAAUGUGUAUCCAACACCUUCUGUAUGCUGGGAUUCUCUGGAGCACUAAGAAUACACCAAUA